GAUGAACGCUGGCGGCGUGCUUAACACAUGCAAGUCGAACGGAAAGGCUCCUGCUUGCAGGGGUACUCGAGUGGCGAACGGGUGAGUAACACGUGGGUGAUCUGCCCUGCACUUCGGGAUAAGCCUGGGAAACUGGGUCUAAUACCGGAUAGGACCACAUUUUGGAUGGUGUGGUGGAAAGUUUUUCGGUGUGGGAUGAGCUCGCGGCCUAUCAGCUUGUUGGUGGGGUAAUGGCCUACCAAGGCGUCGACGGGUAGCCGGCCUGAGAGGGUGUACGGCCACAUUGGGACUGAGGUACGGCCCAGACUCCUACGGGAGGCAGCAGUGGGGAGUAUUGCACAGUGGGCGCGAGCCUGAUGCAGCGACGCCGCGUGGGGGAUGACGGCCUUCGGGUUGUAAACUCCUUUCGCUAGGGACGAAGCGCAAGUGACGGUACCUGGAGAAGAAGCACCGGCUAACUACGUG
rnacentral:rRNA from 1 species